GGAAGAUGACAUUGCUCCCCAGCUCCAGCUCCAUGCAGGCCAUACUGGUGAGUAUAAAGCCAAUUUAUGAAGAAAACCGGGCUACUUCCAAAUAAAUAGUCUUUAUAUUUUGUAUCUGGAUAACCAGAGAUUUCUGUCAGCUUCCAUAAAAAAACAUCCAGAAUAAGACUUGUAAAACAUAAGAACAAAAUUUCUCAAGGAAUAAAAGGUUUUUCACCAGUGUAAUUGAAUACAAUACAGAAUCCUCCUAUAUGUAAGCCCACUGAGACCAUUCUGUGUGGUGAAGAACUGAGUCUGGAAAGUCUCUUGACAAACUUGUGACAAUACUGCCAUAAGAGAUGAGGCCUGAGAAGUUGUUUGGGGUCUGGAUGCAGGCCCUGCCUGGGAACCUUCAAUUGGAAGCAGCAAUCCAGGUCUAGGAUAUACUAAGUUUUAACUGCCUUAGAAUCAAAUUCAGAGAAUUCUGAUCCAGGAAUCUCCUGAAUAACAGGUUUUUAGAAGACUAUUAACAACAUUCACUGGGGGUGUGGGGUGGGGAGUUAGAGAAGGCAACUGGCGACUGCCUCUUGGGAGUCAGUGACUGUCAUUUGCAGGGAUCUAAUCAGGAAGGACUUUCAGGUACUAGAGAUGGCCUAUUCGUAAUAUUUUAGAUAUAGACAAGUGUUAGAAGUGGAGGAAAGAAAUAUUUUUAGAAGGAAAAAAGGGAAGAAAAAUCUUAAAAGAUAUAAACAUUCAUAGUACAAUAACAAUAUUUGAAAUCUCACCUGUAGCAGGAAGUAUGAUGAGGAGAUUACAGAGAACUUUUGGUUUAGCUUGUUGCUGUAUACAGGGAAUGAAGUGGCAAAAUAUGGGCUGGAGUUGUAGCUCAGUGGUAGAGCGCUUGCCUAGUAUGUGUGAGGCACUGGGUUCAAUCCUCAGCAUCACAUAAAAAUAAAUAAAUAAAGGUAUUGUGUCCAUCUAUAACCAAAAAAAGAAGAAGAAGAAGUGGCCAAAUAUGGCAAAGUGAGAUCAUUGCUCCCUACUGAGUCCUACUGAACUGUGAGGUAUUGUACUGAGUGUUCCCUCCUGUCUUCUUGCUGGAAAGCAGGAUUUGAUGGAUUUUGUUUCAAAGAAAUAGCAUCAUUGGCAGCCUGUACUCCUUCAAGAUGUAGCAAAUGUGCUGUUAUGCAGGUACAGUACUUUUGUAACUAAUUUAGGUGUCUGUGGUUAUAUUCUAGCCAGUUAACU
rnacentral:lncRNA from 1 species